UGUUAAGCAGAAUAAGCCAGACUUAUAAAGGCCCAACUGUUUCUUAUCAGGUGUGGAAGUUAAAAAGAAAAGAGGAAGAAGAAAAGAUCUUUUGAAAAUGGAGGGAAGACCAGUAGGGUGGAAGAAAGAACAGUUUAAAAAUUGGAUGCCAGAUGCCAGUGAUUUAUUGACAAGAUUGGUGCAUCAGGGUGGAUGGGCUCACUAGUCUUUCCAUUACAUCACUUCUCUGGGUUGUGUCUCACAGUUGGAGGUCUCCAUAGAAGGCAGGUUGCCUGGAAAAAUAUUAUGAGAACAUUUUAUGGCACAGUUGAAAUUCAGUCAAAUUCUCUGCCACUUUGUAAAGAAGUUGUCAACACACAAAAAUUACCCUCUUUAGUGUGAAAAAAAUUGGCUGGCAGUGAUUUAAACAUGUGUUCUUUAAAUUAAAUCACUCUUCAAUGUAUAUUUUAAAAUAAAGAGAAUCCAAAAGAUAUAA